rnacentral:lncRNA from 1 species
UGUCAGAUGCUCAUGACCUAUACUGUCAUGUUUCAGACACUAAAACAAUAAUAAUGGCUUAAAGGCAGGAAAAAUGGGACAGUUUAGGAAUAUGAAUUUUACACAUAUACUUUAGAUGUGAGGGUUUUUAGGCAUAACAGCAGUGGUGUAUUCUAAUCUGACUACAGCUUGGGAACUGCAGUGCUAUCAGACAAGUCUGCUGCAGAGGGCCUGGCUGUCCUCCCCUGUCCUCAGUGUUUGCAUGGAACUCGAGCCCCAUCUACUGCACCAUCGGAGGGGCGCAGCAGCUGUUGCCAUGGAGACACCGUGGAUCCGAGCAGUGCGGUUUUCAGACAUGAAGUGCUGCAGAGCUCAGAAAUUAGGAGCUGACAGGAGGAUAAAAGGGCAGUGUCUUAUCUAUGUAGACAGGAGGUAUUGACUGGAUGUCUGCGGUCAACUGCUGAAAAAAAAGAAUCCGAUAAGGGUUAAGGGACAAAGUGAAACAAAUGUGAUUGAAAUCUGAAGGGUGAUCCUUGACACUUUGUAAUUGUUUAAAACUCAGAAAUGAAGGAACACAAAGAUGGCAAAGGACAUUUUUCACACAGGACCUUACUAUGUUCAAUAGAAUAAUUGGUAUUUAUUGGGUUCAUGCGCUAGUGAGCAGCAUGUCUGAAUGACUGCCUUGUGAUUUAUUUUGUAGACAACGCUUAAUGAAUGAAUGAGGUGCUUAAAAAAUGGUAUUGCAUUUGUA